rnacentral:rRNA from 1 species
UUUCGCAAUGCCCGAAAGGGUGACGAAGCGACGCCGCGUGAGUGAGGAAGGCCUUCGGGUUGUAAAGCUCUGUCAGGAGUUAAGAAAUGUAAGUGUGCUAAUAUCACAUUUACUUGACGAAGGCUCCAAAGGAAGCCACGGCUAACUCUGUGCCAGCAGCCGCGGUAAUACAGAGGUGGCAAGCGUUGUUCGGAAUUAUUGGGCGUAAAGAGCACGUAGGUGGGUUUGUAAGUCAGAUGUGAAAGCCUUCUGUUCAACGGAAGAAUUGCAUCUGAAACUACAAGUCUUGAGUGUAGGAGGGGAGAGUGGAACUUCUGGUGGAGCGGUGAAAUGCGUAGAUAUCAGAAGGAACGCCGGCGGCGAAAGCGAUUCUCUGGCCUAUUACUGACACUCAGUGUGCGAAAGCUAGGGGAGCAAACGGGAUUAGAUACCCCGGUAGUCCUAGCCGUAAACGAUGGGCACUAAGUAGAGGGGUUUUA